rnacentral:rRNA from 1 species
UACAGAGGGUGCAAGCGUUGUUCGGAAUUAUUGGGCGUAAAGGGCGUGUAGGCGGCUAGGAAAGUCUUCUGUGAAAUCUACGGGCUCAGCCUGUAACGUGCAGAGGAAACUAUCUGGCUAGAGUGUCGGAGAGGAUAGGGGAAUACCCAGUGUAGAGGUGAAAUUCGUAGAGAUUGGGUGGAACACCAGUGGCGAAGGCGCCUGUCUGGCUGACAACUGACGCUGAGACUCGAAAGCAUGGGGAGCAAACAGG